rnacentral:piRNA from 1 species
UGUAAUCUUUGUGGCCUUACCUAAAUAAGC